rnacentral:rRNA from 1 species
UACGGAAGGCAGCAGUGGGGAAUAUUGCACAAUGGGCGCAAGCCUGAUGCAGCCAUGCCGCGUGUAUGAAGAAGGCCUUCGGGUUGUAAAGUACUUUCAGUCGUGAGGAAGGUGUUAAGGUUAAUAACCUUAGCAAUUGACGUUAGCGACAGAAGAAGCACCGGCUAACUCCGUGCCAGCAGCCGCGGUAAUACGGAGGGUGCGAGCGUUAAUCGGAAUUACUGGGCGUAAAGGGCACGCAGGCGGUUAAUUAAGUUGGAUGUGAAAUCCCCGGGCUUAACCUGGGAAUGGCAUUCAAGACUGGUUAGCUAGAGUCUUGUAGAGGGGGUAGAAUUCCAUGUGUAGCGGUGAAAUGCGUAGAGAUGUGGAGGAAUACCGGUGGCGAAGGCGGCCCCCUGGACAAAGGCUGACGCUCAUGUGCGAAAGCGUGGGGAGCGAAACAGGAUUAGAUACC